CUGGUUUAUAUCUAAGUAAGAUGUUAUCUUGUGUGUAGUGUGAGCGCUGAUAACCUUCGGCACAGCUACCCUGGAGAACACUCAGACCUGAGUAAUUUGUAGGCUGCACCAGCUGAGUCACAGCCACAGCCUCACAGAGGAAGAGGACCCUGCUGACAAAAGUCACUAUUUUUGGGCCAAAAGGAUGGUGUUGCUGCACAGGACUCAUGAGAGGAUCUCGAUCUCCCCCUGAGCAUGCAGCACAGAGCAGGGAACGCUGCCUCUGGCAUCAGCAGGAGCUGAUAAAGUCAAGGAAAAAUUAUUCUAACAGGACAGGGUCCCUCACCAUGUCAAAAGCAUUGCUGGAAUUGUGAGGAAGCUUUCUGUGAUCAGAAGACCAAUGCCUGGUUUGACCAGAGAGAGAAUAUGAUUAUUCUCCUCCCACAGCACCGAG
rnacentral:lncRNA from 1 species